rnacentral:rRNA from 1 species
CCUACGGGCGGCUGCAGUGAGGAAUAUUGGUCAAUGGGCGCGAGCCUGAACCAGCCAAGUAGCGUGAAGGAUGACUGCCCUACGGGUUGUAAACUUCUUUUGUCAGGGAGCAAUUGAGUCCACGUGUGGUCUUAGCGAGAGUACCUGAAGAAAAAGCAUCGGCUAACUCCGUGCCAGCAGCCGCGGUAAUACGGAGGCUGCGAGCGUUAUCCGGAUUUAUUGGGUUUAAAGGGUGCGUAGGCGGAAUAUCAAGUCAGCGGUAAAACUUGGGGGCUCAAACCGGUCGUGACGUUGAUACUGAUGUUCUUGAGUGGGCGAGAAGUAGGCGGAAUGCGUGGUGUAGCGGUGAAAUGCAUAGAGAUCACGCAGAACUCCGAUUGCGAAGGCAGCAUACCGGCGCCCAACUGACGCUGAAGCACGAAAGCGUGGGUAUCGAACAGGAUUAGAUACCCGGGUAGUC